UAGGGAAUCUUCCACAAUGGACGCAAGUCUGAUGGAGCAACGCCGCGUGAGUGAAGAAGGUUUUCGGAUCGUAAAGCUUUGUUGUUGGUGAAGAAGGAUAGAGGCAGUAACUGGUCUUUAUUUGACGGUAAUCAACCAGAAAGUCACGGCUAACUACGUGCCAGCAGCCGCGGUAAUACGUAGGUGGCAAGCGUUGUCCGGAUUUAUUGGGCGUAAAGCGAGCGCAGGCGGAAUGAUAAGUCUGAUGUGAAAGCCCACGGCUCAACCGUGGAACUGCAUCUGAAACUGUCAUUCUAGAGUGCAGAAGAGGAGAGUGGAAUUCCAUGUGUAGCGGUGGAAUGCGUAGAUAUAUGGAAGAGCACCAGUGGCGAAGGCGGCUCUCUGGUCUGCAACUGACGCUGAGGCUCGAAAGCAUGGGUAGCGAACAGG
rnacentral:rRNA from 1 species